rnacentral:rRNA from 1 species
GGGAGUUUCGGAUUAUUGGGCGUAAGCGUCCGUAGGCGGUUGAGCAAGUCUGUCGUCAAAGCGUGAGGCUUAACCUCAUACAGGCGAUGGAAACUGUUUGACUAGAGUGCAGUAGGGGUAGCGGGAACUCCCGGUGUAGCGGUGAAAUGCGUAGAUAUCGGGAAGAACACCAGAGGCGAAGGCGCGCUACUGGGCUGUAACUGACGCUGAUGGACGAAAGCUAGGGGAGCGAAAGGGAUUAGAUACCCCUGUAGUCCUAGCUGUAAACGAUGGACACUAGGUGUUGCGCGAAUCGACCCGUGCAGUGCCGUAGCUAACGCGUUAAGUGUCCCGCCUGGGGAGUACGCACGCAAGUGUGAAACUCAAAGGAAUUGACGGGGGCCCGCACAAGCGGUGGAGUAUGUGGUUUAAUUCGAUGCAACGCGAAGAACCUUACCAAGGCUUGACAUCCUGCGAAUCCUGCCGAGAGGUGGGAGUGCCUUCGGGAGCGCAGAGACAGGUGGUGCAUGGCUGUCGUCAGCUCGUGUCGUGAGAUGUUGGGUUAAGUCCCGCAACGAGCGCAACCCACGUUCUCAGUUGCCAGCAUUAAGUUGGGCACUUUGGGGAGACUGCCGGUGACAAACCGGAGGAAGGUGUGGACGACGUCAAGUCAUCAUGCCCCUUACGUCUUGGGCUACACACGUACUACAAUGCUGCGGACAGAGGGACGCGAAGCCGCGAGGUGGAGCAAAUCCCAGAAACCGUGGCACAGUUCAGAUUGCAGGCUGCAACUCGCCUGCAUGAAGGCGGAAUCGCUAGUAAUCGCAGGUCAGCAUACUGCGGUGAAUACGUUCCCGGGCCUUGUACACACCGCCCGUCAA